CCCUUAGAUGUUCUGGGCCGCACGCGUGCUACACUGAGUGGAUCAGCGGGUCAGGUUGCGCGAAAGUGUUUCCUAAUCUUGAAAUCCGCUCGUGAUGGGGAUUGACGGUUGCAAUUUUCCGUCAUGAACGAGGAAUACCUUGUAAGCGCGGGUCAUCAUCCCGCGCUGAAUACGUCCCUGCCCUUUGUACACACCGCCCGUCGCUCCUACCGAUUGGGUGGUCCGGUGAGGCUUUGGGAUCUGAGCGGAAAGAGCGUUUCGCUGUUUCUGCUCGGAAAACUCAGUCGAACCUUAUCAUUUAGAGGAAGGAGAAGUCGUAACA
rnacentral:rRNA from 1 species